rnacentral:rRNA from 1 species
UUCCGGUUGAUCCUGCCGGACCUGACUGCUAUCGGAUUGAUACUAAGCCAUGCGAGUCAUUGUAGCAAUACAAGGCAGACGGCUCAGUAACGCGUAGUCAACCUACCCUAUGGACGGGAAUAACCUCGGGAAACUGAGAAUAAUGCCCGAUAGAACAUUAUGCCUGGAAUGGUUUAUGUUUCAAAUGAUUUAUCGCCGUAGGAUGGGACUGCGGCCUAUCAGUUUGUUGGUGAGGUAAUGGCCCACCAAGACUAUUACAGGUACGGGCUCUGAGAGGAGUAGCCCGGAGAUGGGUACUGAGACACGGACCCAGGCCCUAUGGGGCGCAGCAGGCGAGAAAACUUUGCAAUGUGCGAAAGCACGACAAGGUUAAUCCGAGUGGUUUCUGCUAAAGGAACCUUUUGUCAGUCCUAGAAACACUGAUGAAUAAGGGGUGGGCAAGUUCUGGUGUCAGCCGCCGCGGUAAAACCAGCACCUCAAGUGGUCAGGAUGAUUAUUGGGCCUAAAGCAUCCGUAGCCGGCUCUGUAAGUUUUCGGUUAAAUCUGUACGCUCAACGUACAGGCUGCCGGGAAUACUGUAGAGCUAGGGAGUGGGAGAGGUAGACGGUACUCGGUAGGAAGGGGUAAAAUCCUUUGAUCUAUUGAUGACCACCUGUGGCGAAGGCGGUCUACCAGAACACGUCCGACGGUGAGGGAUGAAAGCUGGGGGAGCAAACCGGAUUAGAUACCCGGGUAGUCCCAGCUGUAAACUAUGCAAACUCAGUGAUGCAUUGGCUUGUGGCCAAUGCAGUGCUGCAGGGAAGCCGUUAAGUUUGCCGCCUGGGAAGUACGUACGCAAGUAUGAAACUUAAAGGAAUUGGCGGGGGAGCACCACAAGGGGUGAAGCCUGCGGUUCAAUU